rnacentral:lncRNA from 1 species
CUAUUGGCCGAGACCAAUGAGGACACCGAUGUCGUAAAUUCAACACCAUGGUCUCAGCCAAAGCGGUUUAUUCGAAAGCCUCCAAGAUUUUUGUCGCCGGUGGUUGUUGGCCCAAGUAUCAUGCCAUCUGACGUGUCGCUGAGCGUUCAGCUCAGGGACUUCUUAUUGACCAAUGGUGGUCGUAUGGACAGCGUGAAAUUGCUAGAGAUUGACAGCUCCGUUGCGUAUGGAUACGAUGUACUCAAAUCAUUCUCCAACGGGAAUCUGACAGAGGGGCUAUUCAUAGACGCGUUCAGCUCGAUUCUGUUCAAGGAAGACAUGAGGAACAGGCCAGAUACUUUUGGAAAAAGGAUUUUCUUACCGACUUCUGUCUCGUAUCUCCUAAACAACGACUUUAUCAAACAAAAUGGUGAGACACAUGAUUUCUCCGCCGAUGCUUUGGCCAGAAACUUGCGCGACUAUAUCCAGAACGUUCCGAUGACGAAGACUCAGAUGAGCGACCACCACCGUGCGUUGUCCAAACGCAUCGUCAAGGGUCUGAGCGAUGCGCUGCAGGAGGUAGCGCCUAAGAGUUUCUGCAGGUUCGGCGGCUUCAGGAGGAACAUGAUGAAGUGCCCAAAAAUGCAAAUAUGCUCCAACGACUGUGCAUUUUACAUCAUGCGGUCCAUGGAGGCUUACGACGGCAACCGGGAGUCUAUCGAGACUCUUUCCAUCCCGACCGACUCGUCGCUUGUCCGGUCAAGCAUCCUCCACCAGCUGAUGUUCAGCGAGUACAACCAAGACGCGCCUCUUCAUCCUGACAUCGAGAUGUUCCGCUGA